AUUAUAAUGACUACAUGCUGAUUUUGUCAUUCCCUCUUUUCCAGAAAUCCUCAGAUCAGACUCCGAUAAAAACACGUCAGAAAUCCUCCAAGAAUAAAACACAUUUAAGUCCGGUACCCUACCAAUGCAGAAUAUGUGCAGGUUUUCUUCUUGGGAAAUAUUACUUUCCUUAAGAAUCUAGAAGGAAAUGGCUAUUUAUGGUACCAGUUCCUCAAACACAAAUUCAGAGCAAGGAGAAUAAUGCUGUCUGAAGAAACUCCAGGAUCAUAUCCCAGAUCUAUGUUAGGGGUCACCGGAGCCACCCAGAUUCAGUCCGAAUCCAAACCAGAUGGUGGAUCAGCACCUAGAGAUGACCUUUACAGCCCUGAACUUCAGCAGAGACCAGGACACCUAGAUGAGCCCCAGAUACUGAUCCCCAGUUAAGACCAUGUCACUUAGACGGCCAUCGGGACAAGACCACAGGAACCAGAUGAGUCCUCUGCACAAUCUGACUUUGUUGCAGCCUAGAAUUAAACUUCUGGUUUCAUCUGGCCAGAGGAGAACGAUGGGGUUUUGGUUCCUUCAACACACUGUUUUCCUGUUUAAUACUUUAAAGCUGCUUUGACACAAUCUGUAUUGUAAAAAGUGCUAUAUAAAUAAUGGUGAUUUGAUUUGCUGCAGUUUAAUUGCUUGACCUCUUUAUUUCGGAUUCUGAUUUCUGACCUCUUUAUUUCGGAUUCUGAUUAAAUUAAUUUCCUUGAUGUGAAUGUGCCUUUACUGAAUAUCUUUCAAAAUGGUCAUGAAAAAAUGAAGCUCAAAUCAGAAUUUUUUUUUUUUUUGUGCAUUUGACUUUGAACUAAUUUUUUUAUUUGGCUGCAGUAGGAAUUUGUUGCUAUUGAAGAUACAACCUCAUGUAAAUGCCUUGGAUAUUUAGUGUAAUUUGUAUUCAGUGAUGUGACCAAGAGACCUUGAUUGUCAAAGCUAUAUGAUGUCUGUGUGGUGAGCUUUUAAAUUCAGUGUCUUAUGCAUUUCCAUGCAUUCAAGUUGAACCGAAUAGAGUAUAAUUAUACCAGGAAAUGGACUUUUAGGCCCUUGACACAUAAGUUGUACAUUUAAAAUAAAACAUGUAGUCCUUUUUUUUUUUUUUUUAGAAAAAGUUAAAUUG